GGCACCGUAGCCCAAUCGGCAGAGGCGAUCGAUUCAAAGUCGAGAGAGUGUGAGUUCGAAUCUCACCGGUGUCA
rnacentral:tRNA from 1 species